rnacentral:lncRNA from 1 species
UUAUUGAUCAAAAAUCAUGACCAAUGGGCUUCAAGAAGGUUGAUCAAGGCCAUAUUAGGAAUUAGAGUAAGUCUUUCAGAAGAUUUCAAACAUCAAAGGCUAAGAUCAGCAAGUUUAGGUUUUUAAUUAUGGUUUUGAUUCAUAUUUUGAGUCAUUUGAAGAUAUUAUGAAGUAGAUAUACGUGCUUAAAAUCAAGGUGUCGAUUUUGUGUCUAUUAUCA